rnacentral:rRNA from 1 species
CCGGCACGGGUGAGUAACACGUAUCCAACCUGCCGUCUACUCUUGGACAGCCUUCUGAAAGGAAGAUUAAUACAAGAUGGCAUCAUGAGUCCGCAUGUCACAUGAUUAAAGGUAUUCCGGUAGACGAUGGGGAUGCGUUCCAUUAGAUAGUAGGCGGGGUAACGGCCCACCUAGUCUUCGAUGGAUAGGGGUUCUGAGAGGAAGGUCCCCCACAUUGGAACUGAGACACGGUCCAA